UUAAAGCUAGCCUGUCCACCUACCUCAAAUUCAACAUUAUUAACUACCUUGCCCAUUAAUUCCUAACUAAAACAUUUUAUCACUUUAGUAUGGGCGACAGAACAAAAAUUCAGCGCAAUAGACUAUGUACCGCAAGGGAAAGCUGAAAGAGAAAUGAAACAAAUAAUUAAAGUAGUAAAAAGCAGAGAUUAUAUCUCGUACCUUUUGCAUCAUGAUUUAGCUAGAAAAACUAGACAAAGAGAUCUUUAGCCUAUCUUCCCGAAACUAAACGAGCUACUCCGAAGCAGCACAAUUUAGAGCCAACCCGUCUCUGUGGCAAAAGAGUGGGAAGACUUCCGAGUAGCGGUGACAAGCCUAUCGAGUUUAGUGAUAGCUGGUUGUCCAAGAAAAGAACUUCAGUUCUGCAUUAAUUCUUUCAUCACCAAGAAGUCUACCAUAUUAAGGCCAAAUAUAAGAAUUAAUAGUUAUUCAGAAGAGGUACAGCCCUUCUGAACCAAGAUACAACUUUUAAAGGAGGGAAAUGAUCAUAUUUAUUAAGGUUCUCACCUCAGUGGGCCCAAAAGCAGCCACCUGUAAAGUAAGCGUCACAGCUCCAGUUUAACAAAAACCUAUAAUCUAGAUAUUCUUCUCAACGCCCCCUUAUCAAUAUUGGACUAUUUUAUAAAGUUAUAAAAGAACUUAUGCUAAAAUGAGUAAUAGGAGGAUAAACCUCUCCCGACAUAAGUGUACGUCAGAAAGAAUUAAUUCCCUGACAAUUAAACGAACCCAGACUGAGGUUAUUAUACCCUAUUUUACCUUAACUAGAAAACCCUAUUACAAACAUUCGUUAACCCUACACAGGCAUGUCUUAAGGAAAGA
rnacentral:rRNA from 1 species